rnacentral:rRNA from 1 species
AUCAGUGGCGAACGGGUGAGUAACACGUGAGCAAUCUGCCCCUGACUCUGGGAUAACAGCUGGAAACAGCUGCUAAUACCGGAUACGAGUUGCGAAGGCAUCUUCAGCAGCUGGAAAGAAUUUCGGUCAGGGAUGAGCUCGCGGCCUAUCAGCUUGUUGGUGAGGUAAUGGCUCACCAAGGCGUCGACGGGUAGCCGGCCUGAGAGGGUGACCGGCCACACUGGGACUGAGACACGGCCCAG